GACGUAGGGCGCGAGCGUUGUCCGGAUUUAUUGGGCGUAAAGAGCUCGUAGGCGGCUUGUCGCGUCUGCUGUGAAACCCGAGGCUCAACCCCGGACUUGCAGUGGGUACGGGCAGACUGGAGUGUGGUAGGGGAGACUGGAAUUCCUGGUGUAGCGGUGGAAUGCGCAGAUAUCAGGAGGAACACCGGUGGCGAAGGCGGGUCUCUGGGCCGUAACUGACGCUGAGGCGCGAAAGCCAGGGGAGCAAACGGG
rnacentral:rRNA from 1 species